UAACACGUGAGUAACCUGCCCCCCACUUCGGGAUAACCUCGGGAAAUCGUGGCUAAUACCGGAUACGAGCACUCAUCGCAUGGUGGGUGCUGGAAAGAUUUAUCGGUGGGGGAUGGACUCGCGGCCUAUCAGUUUGUUGGUGAGGUGAUGGCUCACCAAGACGAUGACGGGUAGCCGGCCUGAGAGGGCGACCGGCCACACUGGGACUGAGACACGGCCCAGACUCCUACGGGAGGCAGCAGUGGGGAAUAUUGCACAAUGGGCGAAAGCCUGAUGCAGCGACGCCGCGUGGGGGAUGACGGCCUUCGGGUUGUAAACCCCUUUCAGUAGGGAAGAAGCGAGAGUGACGGUACCUGCAGAAGAAGCGCCGGCUAACUACGUGCCAGCAGCCGCGGUAAUACGUAGGGCGCAAGCGUUGUCCGGAAUUAUUGGGCGUAAAGAGCUUGUAGGUGGCUUGUCGCGUCUGCCGUGAAAACCCGAGGCUCAACCUCGGGCGUGCGGUGGGUACGGGCAGGCUAGAGUGUGGUAGGGGAGACUGGAACUCCUGGUGUAGCGGUGAAAUGCGCAGAUAUCAGGAAGAACACCGAUGGCGAAGGCAGGUCUCUGGGCCAUUACUGACACUGAGAAGCGAAAGCAUGGGUAGCGAACAGGAUUAGAUACCCUGGUAGUCCAUGCCGUAAACGUUGGGCACUAGGUGUGGGGGACAUUCCACGUUUUCCGCGCCGUAGCUAACGCAUUAAGUGCCCCGCCUGGGG
rnacentral:rRNA from 1 species